GAUCAACGCUGGCGGCGUGCCUAAUGCAUGCAAGUCGAACGGGGAUCACUUCGGUCGUCUUACGUGGCGGACGGGUGAGGAACACGUGGGCAACCUGACCAACGGAGGGGGAUAACCGCUGGAAACAGUGGGUAAUACCGCAUACGCCGGGAUCACGCGUGGGUGAUGCCGGGAAAGCAGCAAUGCCUCGAUGGAGGGGCCUGCGUCCGACUAGCUAGACGGUGGGGUAACGGCCUAACGUGGCAGUGAUCCAUAGCUGGUUUGAGAGGAUGAUCAGCCACACUGGGACUGAGACACGGCCCAGACUCCUACGGGAGGCAGCAGUGGGGAAUCUUAGACAAUGGGGGAAACCCUGAUCUAGCCAUGCCGCGUGAUCGAUGAAGGCCUUAGGGUUGUAAAGAUCUUUCAGUGGGGAAGAUAAUGACUGUACCCACAGAAGAAGCCCCGGCUAACUCCGUGCCAGCCGCCGCAGUAAAAC
rnacentral:rRNA from 1 species